rnacentral:rRNA from 1 species
AGAUUGAACGCUGGCGGCAGGCCUAACACAUGCAAGUACGAGCGGUAGAGAGGUGCUUGCAUCUCUUGAGAGCGGCGGACGGGUGAGUAAUGCCUAGGAAUCUGCCUAGUGGUGGGGGAUAACGUUCGGAAACGGACGCUAAUACCGCAUACGUCCUACGGGAGAAAGCGGGGGACCUUCGGGCCUCGCGCCAUUAGAUGAGCCUAGGUCGGAUUAGCUAGUUGGUGAGGUAAUGGCUCACCAAGGCGACGAUCCGUAACUGGUCUGAGAGGAUGAUCAGUCAC